CGAGUGGCGGACGGGUGAGUAAUGUCUGGGAAACUGCCCGAUGGAGGGGGAUAACUACUGGAAACGGUAGCUAAUACCGCAUAACGUCGCAAGACCAAAGUGGGGGACCUUCGGGCCUCACACCAUCGGAUGUGCCCAGAUGGGAUUAGCUAGUAGGUGGGGUAACGGCUCACCUAGGCGACGAUCCCUAGCUGGUCUGAGAGGAUGACCAGCCACACUGGAACUGAGACACGGUCCAGACUCCUACGGGAGGCAGCAGUGGGGAAUAUUGCACAAUGGGCGCAAGCCUGAUGCAGCCAUGCCGCGUGUAUGAAGAAGGCCUUCGGGUUGUAAAGUACUUUCAGCGGGGAGGAAGGCGAUGUGGUUAAUAACCGCGUCGAUUGACGUUACCCGCAGAAGAAGCACCGGCUAACUCCGUGCCAGCAGCCGCGGUAAUACGGAGGGUGCAAGCGUUAAUCGGAAUUACUGGGCGUAAAGCGCACGCAGGCGGUCUGUCAAGUCGGAUGUGAAAUCCCCGGGCUUAACCUGGGAACUGCAUUCGAAACUGGCAGGCUAGAGUCUUGUAGAGGGGGGUAGAAUUCCAGGUGUAGCGGUGAAAUGC
rnacentral:rRNA from 1 species